rnacentral:piRNA from 1 species
UGGGAGUCUCAGACAACAGAGAGAACAC